AUUGAACGCUGGCGGCAGGCCUAACACAUGCAAGUCGAGCGGAUGAAGGGAGCUUGCUCCUGGAUUCAGCGGCGGACGGGUGAGUAAUGCCUAGGAAUCUGCCUGGUAGUGGGGGAUAACGUCCGGAAACGGGCGCUAAUACUGCAUACGUCCUGAGGGAGAAAGUUGGGGAUCUUCGGACCUCACGCUAUCAGAUGAGCCUAGGUCGGGUUAGCUAGUUGGUGGGGUAAAGGCCUACCAAGGCGACGAUCCGUAACUGGUCUGAGAGGAUGAUCAGUCACACUGGAACUGAGACACGGUCCAGACUACUACGGGACGCAGCAGUGGGGAAUAGUGGACAAUGGGCGAAAGCCUGAUCCAGCCAUGCCGAGUGUGUGAAGAAGGUCUUCGGAGUGUAAAGCACUUUAAGUUGGGAGGAAGGGCAGUAAGUUAAUACCUUGCUGUUUUGACGUUACCAACAGAAUAAGCACCGGCUAACUUCGUG
rnacentral:rRNA from 1 species